GGCUGAAUGUCGUACUCGUCUAGUGCCUGUACAGCAACGAACCAAAAAAGGGAAAGAGAAGUAUAACCGUUCAAUCAGAAUAUGCUCGCGUGAUGCCAUUAAACUAGGAAGCAGCCAAGUCACAGCAGCCAACCUCGUACGAACACGUCAAUAACUAGACGGCUACCUAAAGGCUUGAAAAGGCCAAAAAUGUCCAAAAAAGAAGUGAAAAAUAUAGCUCGCCGCUAUAUGACAGCCAGUCUCCGCUGUGGUUCGCGUUUUUCGAUAUUAAUAUCAAUAUCAAUCAAACGGGACGAUCUCGCGAGUGCCUAUAAGGCCGAUAAACCAUUGAGACCAAUACAUGAUCCGUCCAGUCCAAGUUAUCCUGAGGUCCAUCCAAAGCGAUCUCGCUAGACAUUCAGAAUGCAUUUUUGGAUGAGUUUAAGUUCAGCUCGGUUAAAUCAAUUAUUUCACCAUGUGCUGGCACGAUGCAAUCCAAUCCAACACCGAAGAAGAGGAAUAAUUAUGCCAAACAUACGGUUGAAGAUUCGACGGUAUCAAUCGUGAGCAAAAGAUGAAAAUCUACCGGCUCAAGCAAAUGAACAACACAGACCCAUCCCAAGCCGGAGGAUGGUGGUGGUGUAUAGUGCCGACCGAAACGUUGCAGUGAAACGAAACGUACACCUGAAACCGAUAUGAAAUGAUCACCUCCCCUUGGUGGGGCUGGCCGUGGACUAUAUGCUCUGCAUGCCGUACAGUACACAACACCACGGGCCAGUGUGAGCUUUUUGGGGUGGUGUGUUGCAGCAUACAAAUCCAUCUGCUCGCUCGCUCUGCCAUACUGAUGCUGAUGGAUUUUGCUUAAGCAUUGCAGCAGCAGCAGCAGCAGCAUCAGCAACAGCGAAAAAGUAAAACAGGAUCAGCUCAUCACACCCAACCGAAUCGAACGCUCCCGAACGCUCCUCCGCGUGUGUGCAUCUGCAAUAACGUUCAGCUUCCGUUCCAAUUUUCCCGUCCCCGCCACACUCCGGCUCUCGUUCAGCCGUUUGAUUUCGAGCGGGUCAAACCAGCAGUAAGCAGAGAGCGCGAAGAGACACAAAACAAAAAAUUGGAUAGAUUUUCCUGAAUAGAAAAAAAAAAACGCACACAACAAACACACGCUGCAGUGGAGUGGAGGAAAACCUCUCCUUACCGCGGUACAGUAUAUAAAGGGGAAAUUCCAAACAAAAAUGCUUUUAGGAUAGAAUAAGCGCACGGCUUUUUGUCUACUCGCCCCACGCCUCCCGCGCUCCUGUGCAGCUCGCAGGCGCCAAUCGUGUUUCAAAUUUUUUAGAAACAAAAACCCAUAUGCGUCCUUUCGCUUCGGCUGAUUUUUUUGCUCUGCUUUCCUUUUUCGAGCUGCUUCCUCUAUAUGUCAAUCCUUCAACAAUGCUCUCUCGCGUACUGCAGGAAUGAUUACCACUAGUGGCAUGAGUCCAUUCAGCAGGAGCCGUAUGUGUCUGUGUGUGAGAAGAAUGGAACUGUUUGGAGGAAAAAUAUCAGCAUUUUCCUGG